ensembl:lncRNA
AGCUCAAAUUGUAUUACUUUAAUAUUGUUGUGCUUUUGACAAAUUAUCUGGAAAACAAUGUGACAAGGUUUAUACUUAAAAAAAACACUAGGACAAGACAACAACAAUGUUUUCUCAAUGCCGUCACAGAUAAUUAUGAACAAAUAUGUUUUAAAAUAAUGAAAAGUAGUAUUAUUAUCCUAAAACAAAACAAUUAUUUUCUUGUAACUGCCAUAUUUAUAACAAUCAUAGUCUAAUCGUCGUCUUUAUCAGUUUCAGAGCAUUUGUGUGUUUCACUGAAAAGAAUUCUGGGAUUAAUUUUUAGUUUUGGGCUCAAGCUUCACUGACUGGUAUAACUGUAUGAAUCCACAUUAGUGGCCUAUUGUUCUAUAUGUCAUUCUGUAUGUCAUUGCAUUAUAUUAUGCACGGAAUAGAUCUUUGACGGUCUACUAGCAUGUUGGUUAUGUACGUUGUCGCAGUUAGCUGAUGUGGACGGCUAUAGAGCACAGCAUGCCCGCUGCUCUCCACAAGACGCUCAAGUGGCCAUGCAUGAUGUCAUUAAAAAGGGCCCAACCAUGACAUUCCUCUGUGGCUUAUUGGCAAGUUAUGGCUGGCGGAUGUGUUAUGGAGUGAGGUCAAUCAGAUCCCUGUUAAUCGGCAACGGUGCCGUUGAUAAAGCCGAUGACAUCUUUUGACUCUUAAUGUGUGUGAAUGACCGAUGUACAAUCUCGGACUUUUUGGGGGAUUUUAACAGCUGACUUUAUGACAUCAAUUCAUGUAGAACGCUAGAGAAACUUAAACUAAAUCAAUUAACCAAUGCAUGUGUGUCCUGAUGGGAAACACAUAUAAACACUAUAAUUUGUCUACAGUAAGCCACAGAGCGAAGGAGUUGGUAGCAUUUGGUUUCUCGCAUAGAUCACUCUACAUACACACACUCACACACACACACACAUCCCCCCAAACAGAGAAAAAAAUCUGUCCUGCAUUGGCAGAGGCUGAUGCUGCCAUGCGCUCGGUGAUCUCACCUACCGUUGCCGUGGCGACACCAACCAGAGGGAAAAGCCUUAUUGUGUGUGCGCAUGCGUGUGUAUAUGCUUGCGAUUGUGACAGGAGCUUGAGCUGGAGGAAGAGGAGGAGGAGGAGGAGGGCCUGCAGGAAUUCACAUUGUGCCCGGCUUGUUUCACUUACACUUUAUCAGUGGGAAUACAGAACCGGCCCUUUUCAAUUAUCAAGGCAAUAAAUUCAGCAUGGCCGUGUCGUUAAAACAGCAAGCCAGUGCUUUAAUAAGGAAAGGACAGCAUAUAGGAAGGGAACGGCUGCAUGCCAAUUCAUUUGCAUAAGCCUUACAGGGGACGAAGAUAAAACAGGAAGAGAAAAAUACAGGGCUUCAUGAAUACAUGAUUAAACAUUGAGAAACAUACAGAUGCAUGUAGGGAAGCAUGCAUGCUGCACACACGCAUGUAAGCUUCACUCCUACUGGCACAUCACCACUCUCACUAUUCUCUUCAGGCAAACAAACAAAAUAAACACCCCUACUCCCAGCUGGUUUUGUUGAAUUAUAUUAGUGAUGAGGAGCUAAAUCAGACUAGGGGUCAUCUGCUCAUCAAUGGCUGGCGGUGGCCUGGCUUGCACCACAGCAAUGAAUGCACUGAAUUCAUUACCCCUGGUGAACAGAUGGUGUCUGGCUGCCUGUAAGUUCAAGUUCAUGUCCAGGAGACACACACACACACACACACACACACAGAAAUAGACAGACAUGGAGAGGCCAGACAAACAGACGUUGUUGACUGAGACACAGCUAUUGUUCCCUUUCAUUAACAUGUAGUGGCCUCACUAGCUGUCCAAGACGCCGGGGUCACUUAAUUACAAAGACAAACGGACAGGACAACAUACACGUGUGCAAACACAGACAUGCAAACGAAGAUGCACGCUGAGCCUUCAGCCCCAAGCACAAGCCUCAGCAGCAUGAAUACACCACUACUUUUCUCCUCAGUUAACAUGGAUGAAGGUGUUUUGAUUGUAACUAAAAUGGCAGAGAACGCAUAUGACAACUUUCUUAUGAAAAAAAGAGUAAUAUGUUUGCCAUUUUUUUCAAUACAAAACAAACUGGGAGUAGGCUGCUGUGAGUAAGAAAAAAAUAGCCAUGCAACAAACGGUAUCCGUAUGACAACUAUAUUCACAUCCUUUGUCUGGCACAGAAAGUGACCCUGGCCUGAUACGUAUUAUGAAUCUGCUACUGCACCUGUCAAACACAGCACACGGGCAAAGAGGAAGCACGCUAAAAAACCCGGCAACGCUCAUGUGAAAUAUGCUGAUUGCCCAGCCAAUGAAUAUGAAAACAUCUUCUAUGGUCGCCAUGGUUUUUUUGUUACUCAACCAAUCACGUGACAACAAUGGCUGCGGUGCACUGUGUGUGUGUGAGCGCGGAAGUCAAGCACGUAGCCGGCGUUUACAGAGGGGAAGGAAAAGGAACCACCCAUUUCUACACGCAUAGUCAAACCACACGGGUACAUUUAUAUAUAAGGAAAUGGGUCUCUUGAAAUAAAUGGCGAGGCUACCAACAUGCAGGAACGCUUCUAUAAAUAAUAUAAAAGCAUACAUUUGGGCACCUCGCACACUAGAAGACACUAUUCAGCCCCAUUUAUAGCGACAAGAAGAUGCUUCAGGUACGUUUGUAAUUUAGAAAUGGAGUCCACGUCAUCGUCACUGACAGUUCACUGGUUUUAAGGAGCCAUGGCAGCAGUGGUGAUCAUAAAAAAACUACUAAUGUGAAUCAUAUUGACAAGAUUUACUCAAUCUCUGGAGACAGACAAUAAAGAAUAUUCAAAGCGCCGCCAACUAAUACUUGAUCUCCCCUCCAAGCAGCUCAGGAGUACUGAAUAUGUACUGAGUUGGGAGAGGCAUGCAAGUGUGAUUUGCAGUUGUUUAAACAUGUGAUCCUGCUUUUUCCUGGCAACAUACAUUUCUAGAUUGAAUAUAUUACUGUCUGUUUGGACCGAGGUCCUUUUUAAUUCUAAAAUAAUAUAGUACAUCUUAUAGCCAUAGGCUUAUAAAUGCACCAGAACAAUGUUUCCAUUUCUUGCUUAAAUGAAGAACUCACAAAAUUAGUACACAAAAUAACUGUACAAGAUUUUUGAGAGAAAAGUGGAGGCUUAUUGAAACUGUUUUCCUUGUGUGUGACAUGACAACAGUGUUCUCCCUCAAAAAGCCUGGCUACUAUUUCAAUCAAUCUAAUCGAAAACAACAAAAACUUGUUUUAUUCAGUGCUUCUCAACCCAAAUUUUCUUUCGGGUAAAUGACCAGGUAUUAUAUGCCGUGUUUGACAGGGGUCAGCGGGGAACAAGAGACACUAGUUUUAUCAGACGGUGUGACAAAGAGGGCAAGAGACCUUUUCAGAGAAGGCAGUGUUGAAGUCAUCCACUGUGGCUCUGUCUAAAACUGCACUGAAUAAUCCUCCGUUGCAAAAAAAAGCCAGCGUCACAGAUUUCUGAACAUGCUGAACUUCAACUAGAUGAUUGAAUUAUCAGACAGUUUGAAACCCAACAAUCUAAAGACAUACACACCUUCAACGUGGCUAAAUUCAACGUUUUAAGAUGGUGUUGCACAGAUGGGUCUAUCAUCUGAGGGUGUAACAGUCAGGUAACAGCCACCUCAAGUUGGGUUGCGACUUGAGGUGGUUGAUUGUUUAUGAUGGCGACCAAGAUGUAAGUGCAAUGAAACCAUUGAUUAAAUAAUACAUCAUGUGUAUUACUUAAU